rnacentral:rRNA from 1 species
GAUGAACGCUGGCUACAGGCUUAACACAUGCAAGUCGAGGGGAAACGACGGGGAAGCUUGCUUCCCCGGGCGUCGACCGGCGCACGGGUGAGUAACGCGUAUCCAACCUGCCUCUGACUGAGGGAUAACCCGUCGAAAGUCGGCCUAAUACCUCAUGGCAUCGUCUGCGGGCAUCCAACGACGAUUAAAGAUUUCAUCGGUCAGAGAUGGGGAUGCGUCUGAUUAGCUUGUUGGCGGGGUAACGGCCCACCAAGGCGACGAUCAGUAGGGGUUCUGAGAGGAAGGUCCCCCACAUUGGAACUGAGACACGGUCCAAACUCCUACGGGAGGCAGCAGUGAGGAAUAUUGGUCAAUGGGCGAGAGCCUGAACCAGCCAAGUAGCGUGCAGGAUGACGGCCCUAUGGGUUGUAGACUGCUUUUAUGCGGGGAUAAAGUGAGGGACGUGUCCUUCAUUGCAGGUACCGCAUGAAUAAGGACCGGCUAAUUCCGUG